CUACCCUCCCCUUUAGGAAGUGGCUUCUCUGAGAGCUCCAGGCCAUCCCGGCGCAUGUCUAGGAAGCAUCGGCAGAAGCUCCUUGUGAAAAUGCCCGCCACGCAAGAAACUAAAGGGGUCCAGCACUAAAGGCACACGUAUCCCAGUAUUCCGGGGCCAACCCAGAAGCAGCCAUGGCAGCAACACCCCGUUCAGACCAAAAGCUCCACUGACCCUGCCCUCGACUCCGACUGUACUGAAGAGAAAGAACAUGAUGGUGAAGUCUAAAAGCUCUGAAGAACAAGAGCUUGAGAGAAUGCAAGAACUUCAGAAGGAAAUGCUGGAGAAUCUAAAGAAAAAAUGGCAGUUUUCAUGGAGGCCUCUUGCCUCUUCCUCCUGGUGCUUCCAGGUUUCCUCUUCCAAAAGGCUCUUGUGAGUCUCCAUCUCUGCCAAGCAAUUCUGAAACUCCUGGCGCUCCUUGGCCCGUUUCUCUGUGGCCAGUUCAAAGCCUUCCGUAACUAUGGAACCAGAAAGGCUCGCUGAGUUUAGCAACAAGGGACCCUGGCAGCCAGAGUAUGGGCAAGCACUCAUUGGGCACAGCGGGAACCCCCAUACCGAUCACAGUGCCAGGACUGCUCCCAAUAAAUUACAGGAGUAAUGGCUAUUUAGCCACAUGGCACAGCACCAAUCACACUGCUCCCCAAUGGAGCCCUAUUCAUUGCACAGGGGGACAUACUUCCCAUUAAGAAGCUAUACUCUUACAGUACUGCUGCCUUGAGAAGCCAGGGGGGCCAGACCAAGAAUCUCAAGUCUGAUUAUAACCGGUCAGUGAAUUCCCCUCCCCCAGGCACAGACCCCUCACCUGUGAGGCACCAGGAUUCCUUCUUGGGAAGGAAGGGUUCUUGGUGGACAACAGUGUUGGGCCUUGCCUUGAACACGCCCAUUUCUUUCUCCUGCUUAUGUCCCUCUUUGACCUGACCAAUGGAAAGAGUCAGGAGGGCGAUGGCACCCCACAACCCCAAGUCCUACCCAGAUGAAUAAAGGGCAAUUGUACUCACCUGCUGCUGCCAGUGCUGCAACCUGGGCGUCUCUCGUUUGUCAAUCUCCAGCGCAAAGGGCUCCUGCCGGGUUGGCAUCUUUACCCUCUUCUCUGGCAGAGAGACAUGCCCAAACUCUGGCAGCGGCCGAGCCUUGAACUUGGGGACCUCAAGGGAAAGAUCCAGAUUUGAGCUUUGCAAAUAAAAGUACCCAGGCUGGGUGAUGCCCAUUAUUGCCCUGUGCCUCACUGCCCCCCAAACAGCUGUACCCAUGCCCCCCCAUUAUUGCCCUGUGCCCGGUACCCACACCCUCCAUUCCUGCCCUAGCCUGGCACCAGCUGUACCCAUGCCCCCAUUACUACCCUGUGCCCAGUACCCACAACGCUCAGCUGUACCCAUGCCCCCCCAUUACUGCCCUGAGCUCAGCAGACCCCACCCUUAUACCUCGCUCAGCUCCUCUUUGCGAAGUUCCUCCAAUCGCUUCUCUUUUCGCAGAAGCCUCUUUGUCCUGCUCAUAGAAGGAAAAUGGACAGACUUUAAAGGCCCCCAUACACGGGCCGAUAAUAGCUGCCGAUAUUCGUCCCUUGGACCGACUCGGCAGCUUAUCUCCCCGUGUAGGGGCAGAAACGAGCAGACUGGCCGACCGAUAUUUGGCCUGAAAUUGGGCAGAUAUCGAUCGGCCAGGUUAAAAGAUUCAGUCGGUUCGGGGGCCGCAUCGGCUCGUUGAUGCGGUCCCAGAACCGACUGAUACAUUGCCGCCUAUAUAAUCCGGAUUUCUUUUUUUUUUAACUUCGAGCUCCCCGAUAUCACCGACCCGUAGGUGGGGAUAUCGGAGGAAGAUCCGCUCGCUUGGCGAUCUUGCAAAAUGAGCGGAUCUUACCGUGUAUGGGGACCUUAACUUGUCUUUGUACAAGUUUUGGCCUGAAAGGGAUGCCGUAGUGAGGCAUUGGUGUGGCUUUAAUAACUGGCAUCUCCUCUUCCUGCCAGGAACAGAAAUGCACAAAGUCAGUACAGACACCAGGCUUUCCGUCUCCCCCCCCCCAUACCCACAGAUGCCAGUCCCAGCAAUAGCACCCCCAGUACAGAGCUGUAGGCUCCCCUAAUAGUGGCCAAUGGGGCCCAGUGUCCCGGCUCCUCACCUUCUCUUCCUGCGCUGGAAGGCGCACUCUGUUCUUCAGAGCAAAAGCAGGAGAAUGAGGCACCAUCACUGGGAGAAGUGGGGUCUUUGGGUUUCUUAGUUUGGGUCGGACCAUCUUCACUGGGGUGGGGCCUAUGAGGGAAGGACAACAGUCAGUAUGUACGUUAUACAGGGAUUACUACAAUACCCACACCCUUGAUGUGCCACAUACCCUCCAGCUCCCUCUGGCGGCUGCGCAGGUGGUACCGUGCUGGAGUUUUCUUAGAGAAGGAAAUAACCUGCUCGGCGGUGCAGACAUACUCCGAAGCCUCCUCGUGCUUGCGCUUGUCUGUUCCUCAGAUCAGUCAGCUGAGGAAGGGGCUGGUGAGUGGCUGUACAUGCACCAUGGAGGGGUAACCAGGGGGUGAGGGUGCCUGUUGCCCGUUUAUGCCCUGGAUCAUACAGUCUAUUGCACAAACCAUAUCCAGUACAUAAUGGCGGGUAUGCAGGGGUGUGUCUGGGCAAUGAGGGGGCAGAGUAUGUCAAUUCUAAAUAUUGGAUGCCUAUAUUGGAGGGGGUCUGUUUUUAGGUCUCCCUGUAUGUAAAUAUGUAAGCUUUAUAUUUUAAAAAAUAAAUAAUAUGUAAUAAAC